GCCCCGGUAGCUCAGUGGUAGAGCUCCUGUAUGUUGUGAGCGAAAGCGCCUAGCAAUAACUGUCAGGAGGUCGCAGGUUUGAAUCCUGCCCGAUGGGUA